GACGGGCACAAUUCCAGUGGCGGACGUUCUCGCCGCUAAAGAACAGUUAAGACUAUCCGUGGGAUAAAAAUUCGGCGGAGGAUGUUCCUCGCCCUUCUUGCACCAUUCACCUCGAGCCUUGAACUCCGCCUGAAACAAGGGUGGACAUUUCAAGGCUCCUUUGUGGAGCCAAUUGUUCUGCAAUACCCUUAUCGCGAUUUCUUGACCGGAAUGGAAACACGUGAAUGUGUAGUUUCCAACCUUCGGGAGUAACGUUACAAAACAUAAAAAGGGAGCAGAGUGAUCAUCGGUUUCCUUGAUCCGAUGGAGAAAGAAUUAAAAAAAAAAAAAUUCAACCCAGCUUACCACGAUGUGCAAUCUCCCAAGCUCGCAUUUGUACUGAUAGCAGCCGGACCCCCAAUGCUGCCACUGUCUCGCCUGCUUGCAAUUUCUCUCCUCCCACAUCUGAUCUGCGUUAUCAAAGCAUCUCGACUGAGGCCCGUACUUCUCGACGGCAAAAUUCUUGUCCAAGACUGAAAACGUCGAGUUACAAUAAAGCAAUGCGACCCUCUGACAACGAUGUUCCUCGCCUUCCACGUGAAUUCCUGGAUGUAAGGACAGUAGUCAGCCAAGGAUACGGAACCACCGUAGUAUUCUUCCCUACCCGAUGGAACGUGCGGUAUCGAGUCAAAGUUC